AUUAAGUUUUAUUUAAUAUAGGAUCUGCUCAAUGAGAUAUUUAAAUAGCUGCAGUAUUUUGACUGUGCAAAGGUAGCAUAAUAAUUAGUCUUUUAAUUGAAGACUUGUAUGAAAGAUUUGAUGAAAAAUAAACUUUAUUAUUUAUAGAAUUAAAAUUUUAUUUUUAAGUAAAAAAGCUUAAAUAUUUUAAAGGGACGAUAAGACCCUAUAAAACUUUAUAAUUAAUUAUUUUUAAAUUUUUGGUCUAUAAGUAUUUAAAUUUAAUUAUUUAUUUUAUUGGGGUGAUAAAAAAAAAUAAUUAACUUUUUUUAAAUUUAUACAUUAUUUAAUGAAAUUUUGAAUUAAAAUUUUUAAUUUUAAGAAAAAGUUACUUUAGGGAUAACAGCGUAAUUAAUUUUUUAAGUUCAAAUUUAAAAAUUAGUUUGCGACCUCGAUGUUGAAUUAAGAAAAAUUUUAGGUGCAAAAUUUUAAAUAUUAGGUCUGUUCGACCUUUAAAUUCUUACGUGA
rnacentral:rRNA from 1 species